rnacentral:rRNA from 1 species
GAUGAACGCUGACAGAAUGCUUAACACAUGCAAGUCAACUUGAACUUCGGUUUGGGUGGCGGACGGGUGAGUAACGCGUAAAGAACUUGCCUCACAGAUAGGGACAACAUUUGGAAACGAAUGCUAAUACCUGAUAUUAUGAUUUUAGGGCAUCCUAGGAUUAUGAAAGCUAUAUGCGCUGUGAGAGAGCUUUGCGUCCCAUUAGCUAGUUGGAGAGGUAACGGCUCACCAAGGCGAUGAUGGGUAGCCGGCCUGAGAGGGUGAUCGGCCACAAGGGGACUGAGACACGGCCCUUACUCCUACGGGAGGCAGCAGUGGGGAAUAUUGGACAAUGGACCAAGAGUCUGAUCCAGCAAUUCUGUGUGCACGAUGAAGUUUUUCGGAAUGUAAAGUGCUUUCAGUUGGGAAGAAAAAAAUGACGGUACCAACAGAAGAAGUGACGGCUAAAUACGUGCCAGCAGCCGCGGUAAUACGUAUGUCACAAGCGUUAUCCGGAUUUAUUGGGCGUAAAGCGCGUCUAGGUGGUUAUAUAAGUCUGAUGUGAAAAUGCAGGGCUCAACUCUGUAUUGCGUUGGAAACUGUGUAACUAGAGUACUGGAGAGGUAAGCGGAACUACAAGUGUAGAGGUGAAAUUCGUAGAUAUUUGUAGGAAUGCCGAUGGGGAAGCCAGCUUACUGGACAGAUACUGACGCUAAAGCGCGAAAGCGUGGGUAGCAAACAGG